ACAAACUCUGUUCCGGCUCUCACUGUACAACUAUGUAGAACCAACUUGAUUGAUUAAAGCGGUUCAAGCAGGCUUGUAAUUCUGAUACCAUGACAGCACUGUUAGGUCACACAACACAGCCUGGCCUUUUUGUCACAUAAACCUGGAUGUCUCCUUGCAGUAGCCUUGUUAGGAUAAGCACAUCUGUGGUGUUCAGAAGAAUAACUGUUCAUUUACUAAAGUCUAAAAAUUUUUGGCUUUUAAAAAUCACCGUGAAAUAAUGAUUUCAUUUGAAGGAUGUAAGUGGUAGAAAUUGGUCUCCCCCUAUCUCUGAGGACUUUCUUCCUACUUCUCAGUUCACAGGCUCUCCUGUCCAAACUGCCCUUACAGUAGGGACCCCUGAGGGCUGAUACACAGCCCGUGAUCCUCCUUUACCAUGACUUUCAACAUUCCUAAGAUCCAUACGUCUGCGUAAAUAGGACAGAAUCUUACCAUAUGAAAUAAAGAGUGCUUUCUGCCCCUCACAUAUCUUCUCCCCUAUAACCUUGUUUCUCCAUAAUUAUACCUGGAUUCUUAUGCUAUCUAUUUAGAAACUAAAGGACUAGUUGUGAUGAGUCAUGCAAAGCUCUCUGAAUGUACCCCAGUGGAUGUGAAGUACAUUACACCAAUGAGUCAGUCUAGGCAGCCUGAGAGCUAACGAGCUUUGCCGGGCCAUGCGAGUGUUGCUCUUGUUGCACUUUUGUACAUGGCUGCAAAUUAUGUGCAUUUAUGUUCUGUUUAUGUUAACUAGCUGACUUGUACUUGAAUUAAAAUUUUAAAAAAUUAAAAUAAAAAAAAAAAGGUCUC
rnacentral:lncRNA from 1 species